UACGUAGGGGGCUAGCGUUGUCCGGAAUCAUUGGGCGUAAAGAGCGUGUGGGCGGUCCGGUAAGUCCGCUGUGAAAGUCGGGGGCUCAACCCUCGAAUGCCGGUGGAUACUGUCGGGCUAGAGUGCGGAAGAGGCGAGUGGAAUUCCUGGUGUAGCGGUGAAAUGCGCAGAUAUCAGGAGGAACACCGAUGGCGAAGGCAGGUCUCUGGGCCACUACUGACGCUGAGAAGCGAAAGCAUGGGGAGCGAACAGG
rnacentral:rRNA from 1 species